rnacentral:misc_RNA from 1 species
AAGUCGUAACAAGGUUUCUGUAGGUGAACCUGCAGAAGGAUCAUUAGUGAAGAUUUGGGCAGGCCAUACGGACGCCAAAAAGUGUCCCUGGCCGCCUACACCCACUAUACAUCCACAAACCCGUGUGCACUGUCUUGGAGAAAGGCUUCUUGAGAAGUUAUGUGACCUCUCUUGGGGUCUUUCUUCGCUACAAACUCGAAUGGUUAGUAUGAACGUGGAACUUGGUUGGACCGUCACUGGCCAACAAACUAUACACAACUUUCGACAACGGAUCUCUUGGUUCUCC